rnacentral:rRNA from 1 species
UACGUAGGGUGCAAGCGUUGUCCGGAAUUAUUGGGCGUAAAGAGCUCGUAGGCGGUUUGUCGCGUCGGCUGUGAAAACUUGGGGCUCAACCCCAAGCCUGCAGUCGAUACGGGCAGACUAGAGUGUGGUAGGGGAGACUGGAAUUCCUGGUGUAGCGGUGAAAUGCGCAGAUAUCAGGAGGAACACCGAUGGCGAAGGCAGGUCUCUGGGCCGAUACUGACGCUGAGGAGCGAAAGCGUGGGGAGCGAACAGG